rnacentral:rRNA from 1 species
AUACGGAGGGUGCAAGCGUUGUUCGGAAUUACUGGGCGUAAAGCGCGGGCAGGCGGUUCAUUAAGUCCCCUGUGAAACUCCGAGGCUCAACUUCGGACAUGCAGGAGAUACUGGUGGGCUAGAGAUCGGUAGAGGCAGGCGGAAUUCCUAGUGUAGCGGUGGAAUGCGUAGAUAUUAGGAAGAACACCUGUGGCGAAGGCGGCCUGCUGGGCCGAUUCUGACGCUGAUCCGCGAAAGCGUGGGGAGCAAACAGGAUUAGAUACCCUGGUAGUCCACGCCGUAAACGAUGGGCACUAGAUGCUGGGCUUAUAGACAGGUUCAGUGUCGCAGUUAACGCAUUAAGUGCCCCGCCUGGGGAGUACGGCCGCAAGGCUGAA